UGAUGGUUGAGGAGAGCGAGCGUUCGGCCAAGGAGAAACUACGGCGUAUCAUGGAAUGUCUGAAGGGGCCGGCGUUAGCUGUUGUGAAAGCUGUGAGGACUGCGCAUCCAGAGCCUGCUUCUCGGAACCUGACGGAUUCCCCGGCUUCCCCUCUCGCCCUCCGCGGCUUGAGAGAACUCCUCCAGCCAGCCGGAUCUUUACCUUUCCCUCCAGCGUGGGUUCUAUCUACCGCACCGCUCCUGCCGCCUGGACCCCUGUGCCUCUCCAGCAUCUUCCCCGGCCACGGAUCCCGAACUAAGUCCCUCUGCUGCCAAAAAUAAAAUCUUUUAUUUCUCUGGAUCCUGCUUUUGAGUCCAACCCUCGUUCUGGCUAUCACCCCAUGACAGGACAUCCAAAUAAACCAAGAGAACUUUACGAAGAGC
ensembl:lncRNA